rnacentral:tRNA from 1 species
GCCCAGGUGGUGAAAUAGGUAGACACAAGGGACUUAAAAUCCCUCGGCUUCGGCCAUGCGGGUUCGACUCCCGCCCCGGGCACCA